rnacentral:rRNA from 1 species
AACGAACGCUGGCGGCAGGCCUAACACAUGCAAGUCGAACGCUGUAGCAAUACAGAGUGGUAGACGGGUGAGUAACGCGUGGGAACCUUCCCAAUGGUGCGGAAUAGCCCAGGGAAACUUGGGGUAAUACCGCAUAAGCCCUUAGGGGGAAAGAUUUAUCGCCAUUGGAUGGGCCCGCGUCGGAUUAGCUAGUUGGUGAGGUAAUGGCUCACCAAGGCAACGAUCCGUAGCUGGUUUGAGAGAAUGACCAGCCACACUGGGACCGAGACACGGCCCAGACUCCUACGGGAGGCAGCAGUGGGGAAUCUUGGACAAUGGGCGCAAGCCUGAUCCAGCCAUGCCGCGUGAGUGACGAAGGCCUUAGGGUUGUAAAGCUCUUUUGCCGGGGACGAUAAUGACGGUACCCGGAGAAUAAGUCCCGGCUAACUUCGUGCCAGCCGCCGCAGUAA